ensembl:miRNA MIR4506 microRNA 4506
UGGCCUCUGCCAUCAGACCAUCUGGGUUCAAGUUUGGCUCCAUCUUUAUGAAAUGGGUGGUCUGAGGCAAGUGGUCU